UACGUAGGGGGCAAGCGUUGUCCGGAAUCAUUGGGCGUAAAGAGCGUGUAGGCGGCCCGAUAAGUCCGCCGUGAAAGUCCAGGGCUCAACCCUGGGAUGCCGGUGGAAACUGUCGGGCUAGAGUCCGGAAGAGGCGAGUGGAAUUCCUGGUGUAGCGGUGGAAUGCGCAGAUAUCAGGAGGAACACCAAUAGCGAAGGCAGCUCGCUGGGACGUUACUGACACUGAGGCGCGAAAGCGUGGGGAGCGAACAGG
rnacentral:rRNA from 1 species